UGUUACAGAGAUAGAGCAUGGAUCAGAUCAGCAGUGAUGCUGUUAAAUGAGAAAAGGAGCGAUUGAUUCAAGUCGGUGUGUAUAUACAACGCUGUGUUUUGCUGUCAAAUCUGUGUUUAUGUUCACUGCAGGCAUAAUUCACAGUGUGUGUUAAAGGGCUCCAGACUAUGCAGACACACAAUGGGCAAACUAUUUCUCCCUAUAGUGAGAACAAGAACAAAACAAAUUUAAGUAUGGCAAAUAGAACAUAUUUACUCAACGCUAUGUAUACGGGAAAAAAUGUGGAAAUGCUUGAGUUUUCGUGUCGUGGCAAAAUUUUAUUUCACACUCUACAUUAUGUUUGUUGCUAUAUUCUCAGCCAAAUCCAGAUGUCAGUAACUUAUACAAAGCCAGACAUAAGCAGGGUAUCAUAACGUAUAAUAGGAAUAAUGGCCCUUUGAUUUUUAGAUUUCCUAUUGGAACACCUGUCACUUUUUGGCAAGGGCACACCCCAGCACCAGGUCUCCUUUGGUAGCGCUGGGGGAGGAGUGUAUGUAUGUGUGUGAGUACGAGUGUGUGAGAGAGAGUGGAAGAUGAAACAGCCGCCGCGGAGGCAGUGAUCACACAGACAGACGGGGUGAGUGACAGACAAUACCUGCUGUAAAAUUCCCUCACAUCUCCCCUGAUCUGUAUUCAUAGAUCUCGGCUGCCACGCACUGCAAACUGUAGCCCACACCAACGGGCUCUUUUGGCGCACCGCCCCGUUCAGUUUCACUCUUGCAACUCACUACACAGACCCCUUUUUCUCUCCUUCCCAAAAUAUUUGCCGUCUUUUGUUCUUUGUCUAAAUGAUGCCUCUGAUCACGAGGUGAAAGCUGCAAGAAGCUCUCUGACAAAUAUGGACUUUUUCCCAUCUCUGCUAAUAGCACCUAAUUCUGCUCCUUCAAAUGUAGGGCUUCCCUUUUUAGUUUGUUCCUAGACUCAAAUACCUUAGAGAUGAGUACUUUUGUUGGCAACUUUUUUUUUUUCUUGUAAAAGGACUGCUCUCCUUUCUCGGCGUGAUGAGCAAAAAAACCUUCAUAUUAAAUGUUUAUUUAGCUUUUCCACCUGCAUGCUGCACACAAUUGUUCUCACCAGUCACAUCACUUUCUAGUAAUUCCUGUAGACUUUUGUACACUGUUUAUACUCAGUGAAAGUCCUUCAAAGGGGUUAACGCAUGGCCAUUAUCAGCGCUAUCAGAGCCCUUGUUUUUGUGCCGUUACAUCCCCCCCUCGAUGACUGACUCCAGGCCUAAAACUUCCUGAAACCUAAGCUAUGUUACAAGAGAGGCACGCACACUCCGAGGACACCACAACAGAGGGGCUUCUCAAACUGGAUUAGGUUUGUUGUGGCAGAUCUAGGUUUCAGGUUUGACUUGAGUAAUGUGUCGUUUAAUUUCUUCGGGAAUUGUUUUGACAAAACAAGUUAGCGUAAAGUCGGAAAUGUCGUCUAAAACCAAAAGGGUGUGUGUAGUGUGUAUGUUUUUCCUUUCUCUUGCAGCUCAUGUGAAGCAUAUGUCAGUCAUCAGCAAAGUGUUGCAGUGGAAGUGACAUCAGAACCCUGGAGGGCUUGCACUGCGAGAGAGGCGUUUUGAUAUGAUUUCAGAGAACAGAGAGUUCAGCGAAAAGAAAGGAGUUCCUUGUGUCUCUGUUGUUGGAGAAAAAAAAACAAACUCUUUCUAUACAAACAGUGGAGAUGAACUGUAAGGUGCUCUGCCACGCUUUUACUGAAUCGUUAUCAUUGUAGCUGUCAGCAGAGCAGCGGCUGGAAGAAAAGUAACUUAAAACUUGAAAAGGUGCAGUCUUUUCUCUGACCACAAGUGGACAAUGCUGCCGAUUGGCCAGAGCCUGCAUAGCUGAUCUUUAUCCUGGCUUGUCUCAGGCUGGAGGUGAUGAUGCCCACAGCAGCCAGAGAUUGAUGGGGGGCCAACACAAACGGCGAGAAUGAGCUCUGGCCUUUGAAGUCGUCCACAUGGAGGGAAAUUGAUAUAUCAGUUUAAGCCCUGGACCCUAUUAAAGGAGGCCCCGUCAGGUUAAUGCGAUAGCCUCCAUGUUACCCCCAGACCCAUUCAGGUCAGCCCUAAUUCCUGCCCCAGCUCUCUGCAAUCUCAUUUUAGUUUCCCAUCAGUAAUGUUUUUCCAUCAGAGGAGCUCCGCUAUGGAGUAUAUCACGCAGUCAAACACUGGCCCAUCUCUCUCCCAGAGUCAUUUAAACCCCCAGCCAGCACGUUAAUCACCAGCCAGAGAUUCUCAUGGUUAUUUGUACAGGUUGGACAGUCUUUAAAGUGGGGUCUGUAGAGGUAUACACCUCCCUAGACAGCACUCUUGCGACCCCUCUUUCUCGAGACUCCCCUUCACUUGGCUCCUCCUCCUUUCAAGUCUGCCCCGUGCCACGUCCCCCAUCCCCAUUGAGGUGAGCCCUGUGAUCAUUCAUUUUUAAUUGCAUGCAGAAAUACAUUUACAUUAAAAAUGUAGUGCAAUGUCUUUUUAAUUCAGACACGGUGUAUUUAUUAUUAAACCGUUGUCUUGGAGGUCAGCUCACAAGGAAUCAUCUGCCCAUCAGAUUCACGACGUAUGCACCUUGGUUGGCCCGAUCACCCCCACAUUUUAAACAUGUCUCUUAUUCACUUUGAUUGUCUUCCUUUGUCAUACGUCAUCAGGCUGGUCCAAACUACAGCAUCAAAAAGAAAUGUCAUAUUACCAGAAUAAAACAUGAAUAGCAAAAAUCUGUGUUUUAAAGGGACAGUUGACAGUGGUCAAAAGCUGCAGGAAAUUAGAAAUUCAAUUGAUGAUAUGUAAUGUGAUCUUAAUCUAUAGUUCACAUUAAGAAGUGAACUUUGGCUCUCCUACAGUCCUGUAACCAUCCGCUGUGGUUUCGUCGUCUUAGACUAAAGUUAGUGAACCCUCCUCCCAAAUUUGCCACAUCACCUGGGGCUAUAUAAGUUACAAGGACCUUAGCUGCUUUGCAUGUUUUAACACAAGUAAUGUAUUCUUUACUUUACAGCUGAACAUUUUUCCAUUAUUAUAAAAUUAUUACUAUAAAUUAUAAAAUAGUGUUGUAAAUUGCUCAAUGUGUUUUUUCUACCUUUCAAGCAGCCGCUGGUCAUUAUUCAUUUCGGAUUGAUAUGAAAAUCAGCUUUCAGAAACAUGUUUAAGCUAAUACAUAUAAUGCUGCAAAAUCUCUUUCAUUUAUAUUAAACAUACCUUUGCAUUUCAACGUUAUUGCGGUUUAAAUCAAGGACUAAUUUAAAAAGUC